rnacentral:rRNA from 1 species
UCCGGAUUUAUUGGGUUUAAAGGGUGCGUAGGCGGGGCAAUAAGUCAGUGGUGAAAUCUUCCAGCUUAACUGGGAAACUGCCAUUGAUACUGUUGUUCUUGAGUUUGGUUGAAGUAGGCGGAAUGAGGCAUGUAGCGGUGAAAUGCAUAGAUAUGCCUCAGAACACCGAUUGCGAAGGCAGCUUACUAAGCCAAUACUGACGCUGAGGCACGAAAGCGUGGGUAGCGAACAGGAUUAGAUACCCUGGUAGUCCACGCUGUAAACGAUGAUUACUCGCUGUUGGCGAUACAAUGUCAGCGGCUAAGCGAAAGUGAUAAGUAAUCCACCUGGGGAGUACGUUCGCAAGAAUGAAACUCAAAGGAAUUGACGGGGGCCCGCACAAGCGGUGGAGCAUGUGGUUUAAUUCGAUGAUACGCGAGGAACCUUACCAGGGCUUAAAUGUAGAACGACCGAUUUGGAAACAAGUCUUCUCUUUGAGCGGUCUACAAGGUGCUGCAUGGUU